AUGAGUCAUCCCUGACCCCUUGAGGGUCCUAAAGGGCCGUUGGAGACCACAACGUUGAUAGGUGGGGUGUGUAAGCGUAGUGAUACGUUGAGCUAACCCAUACUAAUUACCCGUGAGGCUUAACCAU
rnacentral:rRNA from 1 species